GAUGAGUCAUCCCUGAUACUUUAAGUAUCCUAAAGGGUUGUUGGAGACUACGACGUAGAUAGGCAGGGUGUGUAAGCGCUGUGAGGCGUUGAGCUAACCUGUACUAAUUGCCCGUGAGGCUUAACCAUACAACACCCAAGGGGUUU
rnacentral:rRNA from 1 species